AGGAUUAACGCUGGCGGCGUGCCUAACACAUGCAAGUCGAACGAGGGGGGCAACCCCCGAGUGGCAGACGAGUGAGUAACGCGUGGUCAACCUACCCUAGAGUGGGGAAUAACUAGCCGAAAGGUUAGCUAAUACCGCAUGAUACGUUUUGGGACAUCCCAGGACGUUGAAAGGAGCAAUCCGCUCGAGGACGGGACCGCGUCCGAUUAGCUAGUUGGUGAGGUAACGGCCCACCAAGGCUCCGAUCGGUAGCUGGUUUGAGAGAGCGACCAGCCACACUGGGACUGAGAAACGGCCCAGACUCCUACGGGAGGCAGCAGUGAGGAAUUUUCCGCAAUGGGCGAAAGCCUGACGGAGCGACGCCGCGUGUGGGAAGAAGGCCUUCGGGUCGUAAACCACUGUCGAAGGGGACUAUACUGAAGGUACCCUUGGAGGAAGCCCGGCUAACUACGUGCCAGCAGCCGC
rnacentral:rRNA from 1 species